GGGAGGUGUGACGUAAAGAGGGGACACAAACGCAGGUGCUUAUCUCUAGGCAGUCAAAGGCACUGGAUGUCAUAUCAUGGGAACUACCUUUCAAAGACACAGCUUUAGUGCACAGUUCAGCACACAAGGGAGGAGAAACAUAUAAGUUUUGGAAACAAAAAUAAAGUCUAGCUCAGCUUUGUGUACUACAAUUCUGACAGAGAAAACAACCUCAAACUUCUGAUCCCAGCACUUUGAAACGUCAGUUGCUUCUUGGAGUGUGGACAAGGGUGACGCAUAGUUUACAUUCCAUUAGGGAGAAUGAAUUUCAGGAUUAUCUAUUAAAUCAGGCAAGGCAUCUUGGGCUGAGUGACGAAUUUGGUCCUUUGGAAUCUGCACAUAUUUUCACCUGGAAACACGCAAAGGUGGGAUAACUUAUUUAUAAAAAUUAAUUUGAGCCAAAAUAUAUCUAUUAGUAGUAUAAUACUAUGUGGUUUCACGU
rnacentral:lncRNA from 1 species